GAUGAACGCUGGCGGCGUGCCUAACACAUGCAAGUCGAGCGGACGGACGCUAAGCUUGCUUCUCUGAUGUUAGCGGCUGGCGGGUGAGUAACGCGUGGAUAACCUUCCUAUAUGUCUGGGAUAACUUCGUGAAACCGGAUCUAAUACCAGAGAAUAUUUUGAACCGCUGUGUGCAAAAGAUAAUUACGGUCUUGCUGGCUCUUCUAGCUGCAUCCGCGCUGGAUGAUUUAGUUGGUAAGGUCCCGGCCUACCAAGGCAACGAUGCAUAGCCGACCUGAGAGGGUGAUCGGCCACACUGGAACUGAGACACGGUCCAGACUCCUACGGGAGGCAGCAGUAGGGAAUAUUACGCAAUGGGCGAAAGCCUGACGCAGCCACGCCGCGUGAGUGAAGAAGGCCUUCGGAUCGUAAAGCCCUGUUAUUGGGGAAGAACAGCUGUGGAAGUAAACGUGGACGUUGUGACGGUACCUAAUCAAAAAGCACCGGCUAACUACGUG
rnacentral:rRNA from 1 species